AGUGAACGCUGGCGGUAGGCCUAACACAUGCAAGUCGAACGGCAGCACAGUAAGAGCUUGCUCUUACGGGUGGCGAGUGGCGGACGGGUGAGGAAUACAUCGGAAUCUACUUUUUCGUGGGGGAUAACGUAGGGAAACUUACGCUAAUACCGCAUACGACCUACGGGUGAAAGCAGGGGAUCUUCGGACCUUGCGCGAUUGAAUGAGCCGAUGUCGGAUUAGCUAGUUGGCGAGGUAAAGGCCCACCAAGGCAACGAUCCGUAGCUGACCUGAGAGGAUGGUCGGGCACACUGGAACUGAGACGCGGUCCAGACUCCGACGGGAGGCAGCAGUAGGGAAUGGUCCACAAUGGGCGAAAGUCUGAAGGAGCAAUGCCGCGGGAGGGAAGAAGGGCUUCGGAUCGGACAACUCUGUUAUUCGGGAAGAACAAAUGGGCAAGUAACUAUGCACGGCUUGAAGGUACCUAAGCAGAAAGCCACGGAUAACUACGUC
rnacentral:rRNA from 1 species